GUGCUCACUUCAGCAGCACAUAUCCUAAAACUGGAAAGAUACAGAGAAGAUUAGCACAGCCCCUGCACAAGGAUGACAUGCAAAUUCGUGAAGCAUUCCAUAUUUUU
rnacentral:snRNA from 1 species